rnacentral:lncRNA from 1 species
GACCCUUAGGAGCUUGUCAUGUGGUUAAAUCAAGAUUCACUUGCACGUUCACUUACACAUGCUACUUCUACUCCGGGAGUACGCAUCCACAUAUAUCCACUCAUUUCCAUCUCCAGAACAACCCAAAAGUAUUCUACUCCUAAUCCGGGAGAGAAUAGCCAAAAAUAUUUCUGUUUUCCCCUGUGAAAUAAAUGCUCAAGUUAUCUUGGUUACUACCACUUGCUAUAUUAUUUCAGGAGAUGAGUGCUCUAAAAAAAGAGAAGAAGAAAGGAUACGAGGAAAUAAAAAGGGGCAAGUGCCCGGAACCUCAAAAGAAAAGAAAAAGUGAGACGAGAGAUAAACAUGGACAAGUGUCCGAUAGUAGAAUUAGGGGUAUAGGAUACCCACCUGAGAGGAAAGAAAAAGAAAAUGUAGAGCAUCUCAUUCUCCCCAAAAAAGUUUCAAAAGAGCAAGAAAGGUAUGUAACCCCUCAAAAGAGCAAAAGUAGAAUUAGACUUUCACCAUUGUUAUGACCAUCAUCACCAUACACUAUUUAUUCGCCACACAUGCACAUCUUGAUUUGACUUAUUGACUUGUUUCUAUGGAUCAAUAGUUUGACUAUGCAAUAAAUAUCUUGUAAGUAUGUAUACUUUAUCUCCCACCUAUGAGCUCCAGAUAUAAAAGCCUUAUUAGAGUAGGGUGAGAGAGAAGCCAAUGUCACUAUGCUUCAUACUACAAAUACCACAUACCCAGAGAGAAGGCAUGUACCAUCACUGCCUUCGUAAGGAUCCAGAAAUACCACAAAAGAGAGAUCUGAGAGAGUCAUACAAGGAAUCUCUGAGUUUUAUUUGAAAAUCUGCAAAAACUCUAGAGCUAUAGCUGAUCAAGAAUAAAAGACAUGGCGCUUGACUAGACCGUUCUAUCUUUUAACUGCUCAAGACAGAAAUGAUGGUUACAAGACCCAUGGUGAAAGGUAAAAUGAGUAAGUUUUAAGUCUUGACAGUUUACUCUAACUCAAAGAUGAGACCUUAUUUGAAAGCAUGUGUACCGUCAACUUUUAAAGGCAAUACAACAACUUCUGAUCCAUCACUGAGAUUAUUCUUGCUCAGGGACAAGCAAGAGGUAAGCUUGGGGGAGUUUGUUGACGGUCCUUAAGUAUCAAAUUUAAUCAGCAAAUAAACAAAGAAAAGGAUCCAAAUGCAAUCGACAAGGUUUUGGUGUUUGUCUAUUUCUGCAGGGGGUUAUCAGGAAUUAUGGAAGAAAGGCCCACACGUCGGGUUUAUAUAGAGAUAUUAACGUGCCGCGCAAUUAUCCUACAUCUAGAAUAGUCCAGAAGCCACGGGAACGAACGGGUGACCGCACGGGCUCGGGGGCAGGGCGCCCGCCCUCCCCCUUGGGCGCCCGCCCUGGCCUCGGAGCCAAUUAGGUCAAGAGGAUUCUUGGUAAUUCCUCUACUGUUCUUCAAUUGUUCAUCUUUGUUCUUCAAUAUUAUGGAUAUGACUUUGCUCUACUUCAAUAUAUUGAUUAUGACUUUGCUCUACUUGUUUAUAUUUGCAAUUAUAUUGUUCUUAGUUUAUCAUAGUUAUAUGCUUGGCUUAGUUAGAUUGGAAUUAUAUACAUGUUUAGGAUCGUAUAGCAUUUAUCCAUGUGUACAGUGGGUAAAUGAUAAGUAUUGUGUAGGCAUGGUGCCUAUACCGUAUUUAUCUGCGAUUGUACCCUAUAUGCCGGAUCGCGGGGUAGUUCGUGGUAGUGACAGCUCCAUUGAUUCUUAUAUAGUCCUCCUCUCGUGUAUAGAGCUGGUAGAGCAACAUUAUUACAGGGGAGUGAUUGUAAUGUUUCUCAUCUUCCUUGAUAAUAUCACUAUGCAUGGGCGUAGUCCUUUCUCGCAAUGAUUGCCAAGUAUAAUUGCACUAACUAUGAUAUGCUAGACUAUAUAGUUAAGAAUAACUUAGGGAAUAUUCUUGUAGUUCGUCCUAAUUCAUUGGUAAUGACUUGCUAGAAUAUCUAUUGAGGUGCUUAUCAUAUUUAUAUGUGGCUAAGUUAUGCUGAUCAGAUUAAUUAUCUUUGUCACCAUUCAUAUUUAUCUAUAUCUUAUGUGACACUUAUCUCUGUAUGAAAGAGACAGAUAAAUGCUCUCAAUUAUACAUGCAAUGAUAGAUACUCAAUCUUAUAUUCCAUUUCAUAAUCAACAUUGAUGUUUAGCAAUCCCUUCCCAGUGGUAAAAAUAUAAAUAACGAUACCUGGAAUACUUCCCGGUUAAAACGCUACAUCGGUAUUAAUCUGUACGCUUGCAGAUCUCAUUUAUUAUUUAUUUAGAAGAGCAAUUGCAUAUUUCAAUAUCGUGUCUCUUUUGUCAUGCUGGGGAUGACAACUUGGCUUAAGUGGCAUAAGGGAUAGGUUUGGCAUUAUUGGAGCCGUUAUCAGAAUUAGAAAAUUAAGUCUACUUUUGGUAGUGACGUUAAGAAUGCCCAACAGAAAUAACCAAGUGAUGAGGAUGAAUAAUUAGAGACCGGGUGGGACGAUUAUAGAGAAGUAACAAGACAUGGAGGUCUUGGGUGCCUAUCUAUCCCCACCUGUGUCGAUUAAGGACCGAUCGUUGACGGUCCUCUUGUCAUGUUGAACGCAUGCCCCACACUUAGCUGGAAGGAUAAGUCAUUCCGACCGCGAAGAAUGAACACUAUCCAGGUCGAGAGUCGAGCCGCCAUGCGCUGUAUUGGUGAUGGUUCAGGAGAACGACGAGGGCGCGGUGCGCAAUCUUGGUAUACCUUGGAUACCUCGAUCGCCGGAACGGUCCUCGGGUACUGGCGGUGCCUGCUGAACCCACGAUUUGGUCCUGGAUAGUGCAAUAUGGUGACCUGUAGCUCACUUUGGCCGGUGAGUGUGGUUUGUGUGGGGAAUAAAAUCGCCAGCUGGUCAGAAAUCGAUUCGAAUCGCUAUCGCUCCUGGAUAGUGAGCACUUGACAUGAGCCCUGUCAUCGUAGUAAUGUUUAUGGAACACUUGGACAGUUAUGGUAUGAUGAUGUUGGAAAUGCCACAUCGAAUAUGGGUACUACUGUUGUAUCUUAAUCAAGUGAUUGCUCUAGUAUAGGUGCUAAUAUAGAUGACAGGUAAUGAUUAUUAACUUGAGCUCAAUACCUAAAAAGUUACUUAUCUAUAACCUAAGCUUUUUAUGCAAGAAGUGUUGUCAAGCUAGCCCCACCAAUAAAGCCUUGUAUACUCCUUGGUGUCAUAUUAUUUCUGGUUUAUGACGGGUAAGUCUAGCUGAGUACCUCGUCGUACUCAAUGUUUAUUCCCACUUGUUGUAGAUUGUGAUGUAUCAUGGCUACUACAAGAGUUGGAUGACUCCUACCAUAUUAGAGGAGUAAGAUCAUGGGCAUGAUCCUUCUUAGUUACCUCAUCUAUGUUGCUUUUGUUGGAGUUGACCUAGAUACUGGCAUGUAUUUGAAAUAAGGGCAAUAUUAGUUUCAAAUUUCUUUGCUUCCGCUACUUUUCAACUGAAGUUGUAAUAACUAUAUUGAACUCCAAUGUAUAUAAAACUAGUUGUGAAAUGGAUGUAACAUGUGACUUGUUAUGUUGAAUCACUACGAUCUUGGCUUGUAUGAUGGUUGGUUUGAAAUCCCUCGUAAUUUCACGGACUACCGGGUUUAUGAGAGUUCGAUUAUGUUAAAGCAACUGCUUUGGCGGGAGUUUUUCAUAGUUGAUCUCUUGUAAAUUGGACGGUUCUGUUACAGCUGGUAUCAAAGCAAGGUUCAACAUUAAAAUUGUCAUAUGUCUAUUUAAAACAAAAGAUUUUGUUUUAUAAAAUCAGUUUUUGACAACUUAUAGCUAUUAUAGAUAUAGGUGUGUUCAAAUCUAAAAAGGUUUUAUCUAAGUAUGCCACUGGUCAUUUCCUUUAUGCCCAAUUAAGGACCCUUAGGUGGCUUAUUUAAUUACUAACUUGGGGGUUUGUGCAUCAUAUUGCUAUUUCGUUGCUCAUACAACGUGCAAUAGUAUGAGUGCCAUUCAUUUGAAUGGUAUUGUAUGGAUCAUUUUUCCUCUACGCUUUGGUAAGUGUGAGCUAUGAGAGCAUGAUCGGAUACACCGCCGAUCUAGGGAAGUGCUUUUGGUACUGGAUCAUGUGCACAUUUUACAUGUGCCUAUGAAUAGGUACCGCAUGAUGGGUGAUUCCGUCCUUAGAGGCAAUGCCGUCGCUAGGACGAUGAUGUGGGUAGUAGCACUACACAUACAGGUAUGGCGAUACACGUGUGUGGAGGGCAUAGCUAUUAAAUCUUGUACUGCAUGUUUCAUACUAUGGGUGGGCUAAAAUGAAUUUUCUGUAGGUACACUAACCACAAAUGCGUAAAUUGAAUAUUACGACUAGCUAUAUGUCGAGAGUGUAUGUGUUAUGCCACCGACAUAGAACGUGAUUGCCACCUGGUAGUUUUGUGAGGACGAAUAGGACGAAGCAUGCAUCAUCAUGAUUGUUGUCUUAUGUAUAGCUAUGCUUCUCUCACCUUUGUUCUAAUAAUAAGUAACAUGGGAAUCAAUGUGGUGUCACCUUGCUUAUCUGUGCGUUAGACAAAAUGCUUUACUCCAUGUUGCUUGAAUAGCUAUAAUUAAAGAUAGGGUGUAAUUUGCUUUGUUUUGCAUGUUGUGGUCGAUCUGUGCACCCUGUCCGUAUGAUGCACAUCUCUAAGAUGACUAGUCUUUUAAACAUAAGUUAAAAUUUGUUUUCACGACUGGAGAAGAAACAUACACCUUUCUAGUAAAAGAAAGAAAAAGAUAAAAACACUUUACCAUCAUGUUUUGUAUGUUCAUGUGUACUAGUGUUGCUUUAGAUGAUUGCUUGAUAUCUGCAAAUUUUGUGCUUAGUAAUGAUUGUUGGCGAUUGUGUGAUUGAUGUUCUCACAUGUUUGCUUAAAACCAUGAUGCAUGAGUGGAUGUGUUGUUAACUAGGUAGUGUCGUAGUUGUUACCUUUUUGUCCUUAGUAAGCAUGCAAGUGUUGAAGAGCCUUUGAACAGCACUGAUGUCACUUUAAUCUCAUGGUUGUCUCCAAGUAGAUUCCAUUGAUAAAGAGCUUGGGUUUGGGCAUGGUUGUUAGCUUUUGAAUGUUGUGUAUCCAUUCCCUAAUCUGAUUCAUGAUCCCAAGCUUAUCUCUCCUACAUGCUUGCAUAUGUCAUGGGUGUCUUACUUCUAUGUAUCAAGACCCUGCCCUAAGAAUUCCUAUUAGAUCUCUCUUCUCUUUGUCAUGCUAAUCUGUUGCUGCAUGGAUCUACAAAAAAUCUUUUCCAUGUAGAUCAUGAUGUUGUUUUAGCAAUUGAACCCCUAAUCUGUGUAUUGAUUCCAUCUUUUAUAUCUCAAUCGUUUGAUCUCCAACUAUCUUGAGUCCUAGAGUGUUUAUCUGUCUUAAUCUCAUGUGAUCUAUAUUCUCUAGUACUAUGUUUAAUCUUUAAAUCACCUCCUUGUGGACCUCUAAUCUCAUGACUAUCUCAGUUUGAUACCCCUCUGUUGCAAAGUGCUCGCUGCUAUGCAACUCAAUUUUUACCAUGAGAGAUUUCCAUUGGGUUGUAUGUUUGGUAAUGGUGCCUUGGUUAAUGAUCGAUGGUGCCGUGAGGAAACCGAGAGCCCCUUGUGGCGGCCGACACAUGGUUGUGCUACUCGGCACGCACUGGUAUCAUUGUUGCUAGCCAUGCUCCAUUAUAGAACUACACCAAUGUGUCAUCUCAUCAUGAGUUUGUCCUUAAUUAUCUAUCCAGAUUUGAUCAGAAGAUCCUUACUUCACGUGCAAGUAAGAGAACUUCCUAUAUACGUUUGAAGAAUGGGUCACUGACAUAAACAUUGACAGACUGCAAGAGGUGGUAGACAAGUGACACUAUUUAACUAUCCCUGCAAUGAUGAUGGCCAUUUAAUGAGCAACAUUGGUCAUCCACACCGAACCAAAAGGACGCACGACACUUAAUGUUGGACAAGUUAUUUGUUGAACAAGCAUCAGUCAUCACCGUUGUGCUUAUGAUCUAGUUUUCCUAAGUCUUUAUCUUUAUGUGCAUCAUGGUGAUACGACUAAAGUCAACCAUCUUUAUCAUGAAUCCUUAUCUCCUGGCUUUGAGGGUGACUAAUGGUUAAGCGUCAACCGCAAUUGUUGUGGUUAAGUGUGGGGCUUUGGAAAUUUUAGUGGUAAAAGCCAAUUGAUUGGGUGCUAGUAACAAGGCUAAUCUCAAGCAAGGUAAUGAUGGAUUGACAGCCAUGAAGGAUAUAUUUCAUCAAAUAGUGAAUUAAACUUUAGAGUUGAGAGAUGUCUUGUCAGUCCAAAACACUGUCGUUUCAGCAUCGAACAAGUUUAGUAUGUAUAUGUUCUGCCUACACAAAUGGUGCCCGUUAGAGCUGAAUUUUGAUCAAAGGUCUUAAGACUCAUGGAUCUGUAAUUCUACCAAAUUUCAUGGAAAUGUGAGUGGUGUUUGUUUUGGUGCCAUGGAUUACAAUAUGGGCAAUGUCUUGCUGUAUAGAUAGUGCUUAUAUGAUGAAACUAGAUUCUUUGUACCGAUUUGUGCCAAUGUGAGUCAAAAACAAUUUGAAAGGUGUCAAUCAAUAGAUUGUCAAUAUCAGAGCUACCGACUGAUCCUAAAAAGGAAGCCUCAAAGGCAACUGGAUUGGUUUUGCCAUGGUACAAGUCAACUUAACUCUUAUGCAACUGCAUCAUGAAGAAAGGUCAUGCUUAACCUACUUGGUGGUACCCUAUUUCUGUAGUUGGUUGAACACUUGAAACUGUUGGAGACCUAUAGGCCCCACUAUCAUCCUUUGUCAGUAGUGGUUAUCCAAUUCUUACAUGCCUUGGUUACCUUCUAUGUGUUACCCAAAAAGUUACAUCUGAUUCAACCUAGAUAACUGUUGUUGUUUGGAUACAAGAAUCCCCUUAAAGUAAAUGAUCAUGGAAGAUGUUGAACCAACAAAGUCAGCUAUCACAUUCACCGUUCUCUUAAUCGGGUGGUAAGUACAAUGUGGUCAUCACGAAAAGAGAACUACAUGCGUGGAAUGUUGUAAUCCAACCAUUUUGGUAGAGGACUGCUUUUCAAAUCUUGUGAAUGAGCAUGGAACCACUAAUGAGCAACCCUUAGAAGCUUGUGACCUGGUGCAAAGUUCUUAUGGCUUGUAUUAGUUUCACUAAACAAGCUAAUGGUACAGGUGGAUCCUGAUGCUCUAACCCACCGUUUAUACACGAGAAACAAAGUACAUGGAACAGUGUUAUCUUGGAUUCCUCCCAAAGUAACAAUACUCACUGAAGUCAAACAAAAAGGGAGAUUCUCUAGAUAAAGGUUUACCAUGGAGGGCAAGUAUCAGAAAAUGUUUGGAUCAAGUUAGCUUCUCUGAUGUUCUAAGCUAAGUCGCCCACUACUACCACUGAUAUUGGGAGAUGUGCGACAUUGUUUUCUUUCCUUGAAAGUCUUUUGCACCGAAUCUCGGGACGAGAUUCUUUUAAGGGUGGAAGCUGUAACACCCCAGGUGUUUGUCACUUGCUAAGUACUAGGUUUGAGCUCAAACAUGACAAGUUCAAUGGUAAUAAAAAGGUCAAAUUCAAUCUAUGAAAGAUAUGCUUGGAUGAUGAACCUUUACUUACAUAUAGGCCCUUCUUGAAAGAUAUGCUUGGAUGAUACUAGUGGAACAUUUUUUUCAUGUGUCUCAUAUCCAUCCCAAUCUAUGUUGGUCCGUGGAAAAGUUUGGUGAAGUUUGGAAUCAAGAAGUCACAUGAAAUGAUAAGUUAUAUCCUUGUCGGAAUGGCUCUAUUAAGAAAAUAGAAUCAUGGGUCAUCAACCAACCCUUGCCAACUUGCUCAUAUGACUCUAGAUGAAUUAUACAACAAAAGUCAUGAAGGGUUCAUGUUGAGCUUAUGCCAAGGAAAUGCUUCAAUUGGCCUAAAACCCUAUUUGGACCUUUAUCAGGAUACUGCUUUGACCAAAGUGAAAGAUUGACUUAUGUUACCGUUAUGAGGUUUGACCCUAAAUAAAAGUGGUAGUUUUGCUUCUGUAUAAGAAACUUUAUUCAAGGGUCAAGAACCAAAUCAGCCUGCAAAUAGUUCAAACAGAGGCUCAAAGUUUGAAUCAGCUGCAGCUUUUUAGCCCUGAGAAAUUUGAAUCAGCUGCAGCUUUUUAGCCCUGAGAAAUAAUUCUAAGUCCCUGGAAGUACAGCAGUGAGUUAGCUCCUUCGUGACAUUUUAUUAUCCAAAUUCAUAUGGUAACUCAAUUAGAUUCCUUAAUAUGAGUUGGAGUACUCUUCUUGAUGAAAGUAAUGGAUCAAGUUUCAUCAAAUUUGGAGUUCAUUUGGAUAUCUAAAAAUAGCUCCCAAAACAGCAAAAGUUUAUUUUAUCGCUAAACGGACAUCGACCCGUUGGCAUGCCGUGUUAUCGUGUUUUUGUUAAGCAACUCAAGUUGGUCCAAAAUAAAUGUUGUGGAUAAUUGUUUGGAGAAGGUCAUGUAAAAAGUUGCAUCAAGUUUGACAUGGGUUGGACCAUCAACUCUUGGUUUCCACACUCGUGACUUGGCAUCUAAUUAUCUCUUAAUAUAUUGAUCUAAUGGCCAAGCACACUUAAUGAAAGUUGUAGAGCACGGCGAGAUAAGCAAACUUCAUUUUGGGCUCGUGAUCCAAUUCGGCCCAGAAGUGGCCCGAAUCGGCGUCCCACCUUGGCUACUUUCAUGCCCGCCACCUGUUUGUCGAAAUGCUUCAAUGGGCGACGCGUGGCGAGCACGUGGCUGCCAUGCCCGAGUGCGCGCCCCCUCCUCUGCUGCUCGCCCAGGAGCCCCCAUGCCCGCCAGUCGAAGUGGAGAGGCACCCCAACGCCUUCCUAUCCCUCUCCACCCUCGGCUCGCUUUCUCCCUCGCUCUAUGUCGGCUCCAGAGCGGAGGCACCAUGGCCACCACAAGAGCUCUCUCCUUCCUCACGGUCUUGCCGCUCCAGUGCUUCUCCACCCUUGCUGGCUGCGCCCUAGUCAUCCGCACAGAGCGCCGCUCCUUCCAUGCUCUUUUUUUUCACGUGCCGGUCAUGGCUAUUCGUCCUGCUCGACGGAGCAGCCGGUGCUGCUGCUGGCUACAUGGCCAGGCCGCCUGAGAGUGGCUCAGGCCAAGCUGAGUGGUGUGGUGGAUGCGGGCAAGCCACCUGGUGCUUCCCCACCCCUGCAUCGUCGCCGACGAGGCCUCAGCCGGUCGGAGUUUUCAUGGCGACCAGGGACAUCGGGUUAUAAUAUGAAACAACACAGGGUUCCAGAUGCGAACCACAGACUCAUAUGAAUAGUGCGUCUGGACUUCGGCUUGAUUUGUGGAAAACUUAGGGUUCCCGAGGCAAAAGUGUUUUUCUUUUUCUUUUGUUUUAGCAGAUUUCUGGGUGAACUUUGGAAAUGCAUAGAAAUUCAUAGAAAAAUUGUAAAAUAGGAAAUGUGGACAUUUUGGAAUCCUUGUGAAAUUCUCUAUGCAUUAGAUCUAUUUAUGCAAUUAGGUUUUAACUGCUUGUUAUAUUUGUCUUUUUCAUAACUGCUGUAGUAUGGCUCAAAGAAAUGUGGAAAUAUGGUGACAUUCUUUCCAUAUGAUAAUUGAUGUCUGGUAAUUGUUUCAUGAAUUUAGGAAUGGUAGAUUAAGAGUCAUAAAAAUAACAAAUGCCCUGUGUUGCUUUGCUCCUAUUCUGAGUAGGUCUGCAUGUUUGUAUUGUUUGGCUCUAUUAAGUUGUGAAUCUUGCCUGGAUGAAAAUAUAUGAGUUGUAGUACUUUUCAUAAUCUUUCCAUAAAGAUAAAUAGCACAAUUUUUGGUCAAGCACAUAUUUAGUUAUAGUGGUUUAAAUUACUGUUACAGUUUCUGUCUAAACCCAGACAGAAUUGCAUUGUUUGUUAUGUGAGACCUUGUUAAUGGUAGAUUUAGCUCUAGAUAUUUAUAACAAAGUUGUUCAAAAUUUAUUAAUAUUUCUAGAAAGUACACAACCAUAAUUUAUGGGCAUAUGAAUCUCAAGUUAUAGCUGUUUAAUUUGGCAUGACAGAUUCUGUCCAUGUUUUGGACAGAGAUGUCUUUAUGGGGUUAAUUGACCUUGUUAGCUGUGGAUUCAUAUUUAGAUGAUAAUAAGAAAGUUGUAGGUCACUUUAUGAGAUUUCCAAAAAGAUAAGAAUCAUGUUUGCUGGAGUUCUACAACUCCAGUUAUGCUUCCUUGAAUUGCCUAUCAGUUUUCUGUUUGUAAUUGUACUUCUACUGUUUGUCAGCAUGAGCAGUUUUAUUUAUGCAAUUAAUUCCAUGAUAUAAAUGAUGUUUGCUGUGAAACUUGUAUAUAGAAAAGAUGUAGAUAAUUUACUAAUAUAUAUUUUGGUAAAGUUUCAUAUCAUUUGGCUAAGUGGGUUGUGAGUUACAGUAGUAUGAAUUUCAUCCUUUAAAAUGCUUGUUUUCUGGAAAUUCCUAGACCAGAUUAUAUGGUCACGCAUGUUUGACUUGGUUAACUUGUUAAUCAUGCUAAUAUGAUUAAAUAUGAAUUUUAGAUAAUUUGAUAUUCUUUCCAGAAUGUCCUAUUGCAUAGUUUUUGGAGUUGUGUAACCCCAGUUAUGAUUUAUUUACUGAGUUGCUGCAUGUAUGUCCAAAAUUGCUAAAAAUGCAUGAAUGCUUGAUUACUUUACUUGGUGUGUGCAAACUGUGAUUCAUAUCUUUAAUGGGGAUUAAGUAAUACACUUGUAACCUUGUAAAACUUGUGUCAUGAUUUAUAUGUUUGCUCUAUAUAAUUGUUUGUGUGAUGUUAGCUAAAUAAAUUUAGAUGCUUGUGUCUUGCAUACUUUUGUGUGAUGCAUAUUGUGUUAUUAUUCUUCAUAUUCAUGCACUUGCAUCUUGCAUCUCAUCUAGGUGCGCUAGAUGAAUCACGUGAAGGUCAUGGUGUGGAAUCAGACUAGAAGAUGGUGUUUGGUGGACUCAUCCUGAAGGUGGAAGGACUAAGAAAGUGUUGUGACCUUAGAUGUCACCAAGACGGAGCAACUAACUGAACUGACUCAGUGAUGAUCCCAGGCAAGCCCCGCAGCAUUAUAAGUCUCCCACUACUUUUGAAUGCAAUUGAGAAUAUAUGUUUUAUAUGUAUUGUUGUAUUAAGUAUAGGAGUUGGGUGAAACCCUUGCUGCAUAUAACACUCCUUGUCCAGCACAUAUACCUCUAACCCUAUGUAGAUUCGGGAUCGAAUCUAAAUGCUUAGCCAUGCUUAGACCGGUAGAAGCCAGGUGAUGUCGUGUCACUUGAGCGAGAUAGGUGGAUACCUGAAAAGGUUGGCUAUAUAUGAUAUCAUGGAAAUAACCAAGUGAUGAGGAUGAAUAAUUGGAGACCAGGUGGGACGAUUAUAGAGAAGUAACAAGACAUGGAGGUCUUGGGUGCCUAUCUAUCCCCACCUGUGUCGAUUAAGGACCGAUCGUUGAUGGCCCACUUGUCAUGUCGAACGCAUGCCCCACACUUAGCUGGAAGGAUAAGUCAUUCCGACCGCGAAGCCUGAACACUAUCCGGGCCGGGAGUCAAGCCGCCAUGCGCUGUAUUGGUGAUGGUUGAGGAGAACGACGAGGGCGCGGCGUGCAACCUUGGUAUACCUUGGAUACCUCGAUCGCCGAAAUGGUCCUCGAGUACUGGCGGUGCCUGCCGAACCCGCGAAUUGGUCCUGAAUAGUGCAAUAUGGUGACCUGUUGCUCACUUUGGCCGAUGAGUGUGGUUUGUGUGGGGAAUAAAAUCGUCAGCUGGUCAGAAAUCGAUUCGAAUCGCCAUUGCUCCUAGAUAGUGAGCACUUGACUUGAGCCCUGUCAUCGUAGUAAUAUUUAUGGAACACUUGGAUGGUUAUGGUAUGAUGAUGUUGGAAAUGCCACAUCGAAUAUGGGUACUACUAUUGUAUCUUAAUCAAGUGAUUGCUCUAGUACAGGUGCUAAUAUAGAUGACAGGUAAUGAUUAUUAACUUGAGCUAAAUACCUAAAAAGUUACUUAUCUGUAACCUAAGAUUUUUAUGCAAAAGGUGUUGUCAAGCUAGCCCCACCAAUAAAGCCUUGCAUACUCCUUGGUGUCAUAUUAUUUCUGGUUUAUGAUCGUAAGUCUAGCUGAGUACCUUCUCGUACUCAGGGUUUAUUCCCACUUGUUGCAUGUUGUGAUGUAUCAUGGCUACUGUAAGAGUUGGAUGACUCCUACCAUAUUAGAGGAGUAAGAUCAUGGGCAUGAUCCUUCUUAGUUACCUCAUCUAUGUUGCUUUUGUUGGAUUUGACCUGGAUACUAGCGUGUAUUUGAAAUAAAGGCAAUAUUAGUUUCAAAUUUCUUUGCAUCCGCUACUUUUCAACUCAAGUUGUAAUAACUAUAUUGAACUCCAAUGUAUAUCAAACUACUUGUGAAAUGGAUGUAACAUGUGACUUGUUAUGUUGAAUCACUACGAUGUUGGCUUCUAUGAUGGUUGCUUUGAAAUCCCUCGUGAUUUCACGGACUACCGGGUUUAUGAGAGUUCGAUUAUGUUAAAGCAACUGCUUUGGUGGGAGUUUUUCGUAGUUGAUCUCUUGUAAAUUAGGCGGUUCUGUUACAAAAGUCUAAUUCUACUUUUGCUGCUGUUGACACCAUUUUUGGACACGUAUCUUUUGAUACGCAUCUGGAGUUAAUGAGAUGUAGAUCAGUAGAUGGAACAGUGGUGGUCAGUCUGCAGGGAAGUUGCCGGUAAAGGUGGCUGCUGAUGAGAAACAAUCGGAUAUGGCCAAGUCCAGAAGGGGUGGUGUGUUCGUGCCGAUGACCAAUGACGGUGUUUGCCGAUGACUAUGGACGGGUAAUCUGCCGAUGACUCUGAAGAAAAGCGCGGAAGUUGUCGAUUGAUUCAUGGUGGUAUCCCGAUCGGUUACGGGGGUAGUUUAAUGUUUUCCUUAGUUAUUAGAGUUCAUUUUGUAUACGGUUUCUAUUUAAUUUGGAAUUUGAGUCAUAGUCAUGUCUGGUUGUAGUUCUUUGGACAGGGUAUAAAUAUAGACCCUAGGGCAAUGUAAUGAGAAAUCUAUCAAUCAAUCAAACACAAGUUUUUACUCAUAUUCCAGCAUCUACUUUUUCGACGACUUCGUCAUAUUUUCUUUUUACUAUGAGUUCAUAGGAAUUCAUCGAGUCAAACUCGACGUGUUCUCAAGUUCUGCAUGAUCACCUCUUGGCCGUGGCAUCUGGGCGUGUCGCUGUUGUCGGGACCAAAGUGGUCGAGUUACCACCUUUGUCAAUUGUAAGGUCAAAUCGGCUGGCACGCCUUAACGUUUGAAUCGGGUAUUAGCCCUUUGUGUUUGCAGAUCAGUUUUUGCACCAACAGCUCCCUUGAAGGAAUACAUACCUUUUUUGCACUUUGAAGCUUUUGAAAGGACUAAGAUGCUCGAUGUUGACGGUCCUUAAGUAUCAAAUUUAAUCAUUAAAUAAAUAAAGAAAAGGAUCCAAAUGCAACCAACACCCAGACUUAGGGUUUUAUCUGACAGAAUUCCACGAGUUUUGGUGUUUGUCUAUUUCUAUAGGGGGUUGUCAGGAAAUAUGGAGGAAAGGCCCACACGUCGGGUUUACAUAGAGAUAUUAACAUGUGCAGCAAUUUUCUAUCAUCUAGAAGACUCCAGAAGCCACAGGAACAAACGGGAGGCCGAGCGAGCCCGAGGGCAGGGCGCCCGCCCUCCCCUCUUGGGCGCCCGCCCUGCUACAGGAACCAAUCAGGCUCUGCCUUGAGGAUUAUGCUCCACAACCUUUGAGGAUCAAGGAAAACCAUGCGAUUAAGGUCGAUUUCAUCCGACGGCCAACGUUCAUUUGAGGGGGCUAUAUAAGCAGGGCCCCUAGUCCCUGGAGGAGGCAUCCCUAUUCAUUAUUCAUAGCCAGAGCAAAAGCUAUGGUUUGGAGAUGAGAGCUCUCCUCUCUUCUCUACACUAGAGUAGAUCUAAAUAGUAGCGAGAUGGAGAGUGAGGGAGGAUUGGAGGAGACGCCGGCCUGUCAGUUCUUCGUCUGGUUGUACUUCGCCAUGAUCAAGCUCUAAUCAAGCUUGCUCAUGGGAUGACUUUGGUAAUCUACUUCUAUUUUAUUAUACAAUCCAUGUAUAUUAUGGUUCAUAACUCUUCUGAGUACUUUUAAUUUAUAGGACCCUAUAGGUUAGAGUUGUAGUAUAGGUGUAAGCAUGGUGCUUAGACCUAGAUUACUUGUGGAUAUCCCCUGUCUAGCCGGAUCGUGUGGUAGGCCGCGUAGGUGACAGCUACGUUGGUCCUCUAUAGUCCACCUCCCGUUAGCAGGACUGGUAGGGUUUAUCGGCCUAUGGAUAAGCAUCCUUUGUGGUGUAUUCUUAUCACGUGGUUCGUCCCAGACAUAGACAUACCCCUUUGAAGUAGAGAAACCAUAGUUAUCCUCUAUUCUCCUACCAUCGCCCAUAUACUAGAUUGCUCUACACUCUAUUCCCAUAUUAUCACCCAUUGUUAUCUUACCUUUAAUACUGUUCUUAUUAAUUUCUAUCAUCUUUCCUAUUUACACCUACCUAUCUAUCUAGGUUAAGUUAGAGCGUAGAUCAGUUCUCCCGUUUCCCUAUGGAUACGACAAAACCUUUAACCGGGUAAAAGCUACCACGGUAUCCGUGCGCUUGCGGAUUUAUCUGUGUGCGUAUAAAUACCAUAGUAAACUCUAGUGCUAUGCUGGGGAUGACAACCUAGUAUUCAAGUGGUGUUAGCAAGUGUCAACAAGCUUUUUGGCACCGUUGCCGGGGAAACGGUUGCUGAGUUGACUACGAACUAGCUUAAUCAUUUUCUAAAAAAUAAAUAAAUAUAUUUUUCCUUUUAUCCUUUGCCUUAUCUCUGCUAUUCUUUCUUCUUAUCUAAUCCUUGAUCUCUGGUCUAUCAUGAAUUCAAAUAUGUCUAUCUAUGAUUUUUUAGACCUACGGGCACACAUCUCGAAGCACCAAAACCUUCAAAGCCUAUCAUAGCAUCUAGUUUUGAGAUAGACCCCGAAUACAUAGAAUUUGUUCAAAAACAACCUUUCUCAGAAGAAGGUGAAGAAAACCCAUACACACACCUAAGAGAGUUUUAUCGAGUCUGUGACCUCCUUCGCAUAGAAGGCAUGUCCGAUGAGACCCUUAAAUGGAAGCUCUUUCCGUUCUCUUUAACAGGAAAAGUUAGACAUUGGUAUAAACUCAAAGUAGGGAGUGUUCAUGGAGAUUGGAAGGAGUUAUAUAAUAGUUUUCUUUUUAAAUAUUUUCCAAUCUCCAAAGUGGCAGAACUUUGGCGUGAGAUUACUUCUUUUAGACAACUGGAAGAAGAAUCUCUUGGCCCAAAGCUUUCUAUUCCAGAAGAAGUUCUUCUAUUUCACUUUUUUGAGGGCCUUAGUAGGAAAAAUAAGCAAACCUUGAAUACAAUCUCUAGAGGAUCCUUCUAUCACCUACCUGCUAGUGAAGCUAGGGAUUUAAUUUAUUCAUUGAGUGGAAAGUUUCCUAGCAUUUAUAUCCCUGAGAAAGAGAAAGAACCAGUUCCGAGACAAGAAGAAGAAGUUUCGAUUGCCAGGUCACAAGCACUUCAAUCCCAAACUUUAGCUAUCGAUCCUAAACCAUCAAUACCCCAAAAUUCUCCAAGGGAGGAAGGAAUUCCGACCUUAAAUCUUUCAGAUACUGAUGGUUUAGACUUCUGGUUCCAAAAGAGACUUUCAAGCAUAGAUAAUUCAAAUCCUUGCAAUGAUGGUUCUCUUAGAGAAUGUCCUCGUUCCUGUUAUGAAGAAGUCAAGGAUGACAUAUCAAGUGAAGGAGAGCUAAGCCAUAUAGAAAAUUCUAUCUGCUCCCCUUCCAUGCUCACAAGUUCUAAAUCCAUCCUUGACCUUAGAGAUCCCUCUUAUCACUCUCCUUUCCAGUCUCAUGAGGAUCCUAGCAAUUCACCAAGACAACCAAACCUUAGGAGUCAUGAAGACCAUAAGGAUGACAUGUCAAGUAAUGCCAUAGAAGGAGAUCUAAGCCAUAUAAAAGAUUCUAUCAGCUCCCCUGCUCGAUCACAAGUUCCAAAUGGCUGGAAUGUGUAAAAUGGAUGGAUAAGGAACGAUCCUUAUUGGAUUCUGACCUUGGCUCAAUUUUAGAUGUUGAGUCUUUAACUCCCCUUGAAUAUGAUAUUCAUCCAUCUAUAGAAGAGGACAUAGACGGGACCAAUCCAAGAGAAACUCUGAACAUUCAGAUUAGAGACGAAGAUAACAUUAAUGAGCAUGGAAUUUAUUUCAUAGCCACUUCAUUUACUCCAUGCUCAUAUGAAACAUCUUCCCAAUCUACUGGUCUCUCCAACAUCACCACAUUUGAGAUCUCCAACCCCCUCUUCCUUUCUAUUUACAAAAACAUUAAAAGAGUGGUUGUCGAUGCAUAUGUCUAUAACAAAUAUUGCAGAUCUCGUUGAGCUAAUCGUGAUAUACAAAGGUUGGCGUCGGAGGGGAAACCACUUCGCCAACAUAAACUGAUGGUCUCCCAUGGACAAGCUUAGUGUCCUAAAAUAAGCGCUUAUCAGAUCGUAACAUGACCUUGCCAUAUUGCCUUGUGUAUUGAGCAUAUAAAGAUAAUUGUGAAAAUAUUCCUUCAGGUAUUCUUGUCACUAACCUUUCUAGGAUUGGAGCAAGAAGAUCGGAUGAAUGACAAGCACAAGAUAUGUCCAACCAAUCAUCAUUGAACACUGAAUUAAAUUCAUCCAAACUUGAAUUUUGCAAAAUUCAAGCUUGGGGGAGUACCUUACAUAAAAACAUCCUUUGCCAUGUUGCUAUGUUGGUUGUCCCUACCUUUGAGACAUGCUCAAUUUUUGAAAUACUAAUCACACUACUUCAUCUCCACUUGAGUAUAUCUCUAUAAAUGCCAUCACGCUACCUUUGUUUAUGCUAGUAAGUGUUAGUUUGGAAGUACUGCACAUACUUCUAUUGGCAUUUAAAUUAAGCAUGGUGCUUAUGUUAAACAGCCUUCCUGAAUCUGAUUAGACAUGGAGUCUAGUUCGGUUAUUGAACUAAAAAACUACUUGUGUAGACAUUGGUAUAUUUUGUCGGACUAACCCCUGCAGAAAAACUUUCAAUAUCAAUUUGGGAAGUCUUGAGAUAAACUCACAUCGGAGAUGAAGAGAGAGACACAUGAAGUGUAACAAUUUGCACAAGAAGGACAUAGCUCAUUCAUCAUAGAGAGAUGAUCCAUGGAAGGAGACAAUGUACAUAAACAAGAUACACAACCACUAUGAAUGGGAAGCUUCCACAAGGUGAGAUGGUACCAUCACUCUUCAAUUAAGGUAACAUCUUAAGAUAUGUGACUAUCACUUUUAUAAGCUUCUCCUUGGGUCUAGCGUUCACAUAAAUAAAGAGACAAAUAUGUAUGAUUUAUAACUCCAAAUUAACCAACCCAACUGAUUCAGCAUGUUUAGUCCUUUAAUCUUUGUUCCUAGUACUACCUCCAUGAUCCCACACUCCUAAUCAUAUGAGCUAAAAUGUUGCACAUUCAAUCUUUGGGAAGAUAUAAAGAAAAAGAUAUAUACAUAGAUAGAUUAUCUUUCCAUAAGGUUGAGCGAUCUGAUCUGACAAAUGUUUUAAAUGCUACACUCAUGAACUUAUCACCCAUCAACUUUGUCUUGCUCCCUAUGCUUAAGGAUAGAGAAGAAUAAAUAUACUUUUGGUUGUGUUGGUGUUUUCCACCAACAGGACCCAUGCACUUGAUCUCUGCCUUGUCUCUAUGAGCAGGACACAUUGUGAGAAACAUGGAGGAUUUUUCAACUCCCAGACUCUACCAAGUGAAGGACCUGGAUCUACGAGCACAAACACACUGAGCAAGAUACUGCCAACGCCGCACUUCAAACUGCUGGGCAAACGAAGAACAUGGGUGACACCGUAUCAAGAGGUGCAGACGUCAAGGUCCACACCUGAAUCAAAUGACGCACCUGAAAAAUGAACACAGUGAGAAGUCUUGUUCAGAAGACUUAAAACAUUGAACCCUCGCCGAAAGGUAAAAUCGGUAGUUAUCCAUAUUUGUCCUUUCUGCAUUCCCUUUUCCCAUAAAUUAUUUACUUUCCUUAAAUGGCUUGUUAGUUAAUCAUGCUAUCUUGAAACAAAAAUAAAAAUGUUAAAAAUAGUAAGCCCCAUGUGAGUAUGCUCAUGGCAUAAAACCCAUAAGUACAUUCACUGUGGUGGCAUAAAAUAAAAUAAAUAUAUUCCUCUCCUAUAGAAAUGCAAAUAUAAAAAUAAAUUUAUGGUCCUACCAAAGAGAGUAAUAUUUAUUAGAGGAAGCUCAACAUGAUAAAGACAAAUAGAUUUUAUGCUAACACUUAACCAGUUCCACAAAGCUUUAUUGUCUAUUCGAGCUCCACAGAAUUAAAGACUGAAAGAAGACUAGCAGACGGAGGACAUCCUAAUCGCUAUCAGGGUGCUGCCGACAUUCAAAUACACCUCCACCACCUGCUAGCUACAUCAGAAGAAAAUUAUGUCAAAAUCCAGCUUGGGGGAGAGCACCCCCAUUUAUCCAGCUAAGUGUUUAUAUUCGCGUUUAUACUUUACUCAAACAAUAAAAAGAUGCAUAAUAAAAAAACCCAAAUAAAGAUUUUGUGCUUAUAUUUUUGCUUAGUUUGCUAAAUAAAUAAAUAAAGUGUCUAUGCCAAAUUGAACUCCAAUGAUAAACUCUUACAUAGAUAUGAUGAAUAGUUGCUCUGCCAAGUACCUAGUUUUCAAAUUUGAGCUCGCUCUCAAGUUUAGGCAUAACUAUUAUAAUUUAAAGCUUGCUCUAAACCUAAACUUGUGGGAAGAGUACCUGAUCAAAAGUCUAAGUCGUUAACGGAUAUGAUAUGGGAAGGUUGAGCUGCUAUUUAUCUGUUCCUAGAGAUACUUGAAUUCUAGAGAAUUUUACCUUUGAAAAUCUUUAAAAUGUUGCAUGAUAAGUUCCUGUAUGAUGAGAGUUUAAAAUCGUACCACAGCCAUAUAUACAUGCUUAUUAGACUAUGAACCAUACAUUUACUUUUUACUACUUAUGAGCAUUGAGUGUGGUCAAGCUGUGUAGACCCUUAGGAGCUUGUCAUGCGGUUAAAAUCAAGAUUCACUUGCACGUUCACUCAUACAUGCUGCUUCUACUCCGGAAGUACGCAUCCAUAUACAUCCACUAAUUUCCAUCUCCAGAUUCACCCAAAAUUAUUCUACUCUUAUCUAGGAGAGAAUAGCCAAAAACAUUAUCCUAUCCCGGUUAUUCCCUGUGAAGUAAAUGCUCGAGUUAUUUUGGUUACUACCACUUGCUAUAUUAUUUCAGGAAGGUAAGUGCUCUGAAAAAAAGUGAAUAUGAGGAAAUAAAAAGGGGCAAGUGCCCGGAACCUCGAAGAAAAGAAAAAGUGAGACGAGAGGUAAAAAUGGACAAGUGUCCGAUAGUAGAAUUAGGGGUAUAAGAUACCUACCUGAGAGAAAAGAAAAAGAAAAUAUAGAGCAUCUCAUUCUCCUCAAAAACCUUCAAAGUGCAAGAAAGGUAUGUAUCCCUUCAAAAGAGCAAAAGUAUAAUUAGACUUUCACCAUUGUUUUCACCAUCAUCACCAUACACCAUUCAUUCGCCACACAUGCACAUCUUGAUAUUGACUUAUUGACUCUUUUCUCUAGAUCCAUGGUUUGACUAUGCAAUAAAUGUCUUGUAAGUAUGUAUACUUUAUCUCCCACCUAUGAGCUCCAGAUAUCAAAGCCCUAUUAGAGUAGGAUGAGAGAGAAGACAAUGUCACUAUGCCUCAUACCACAAAUACCACAUACUUUGAGAGAAGGCAUAUACCAUCAUUGCCUUGGUAAGGAUCCAGAAAUACCACAAAAGGGAAAAUUGAGAGAGUCAUACAAGGAAUCUCUGAGUUUUAUUUUGAAAAUCUACAAAAAACUCCAGAGCUAUAGUUGAUCAAAGAACAAGAGACAUCAAGCUUGACUUGACCAUUCUAUCUUUUAACUGCUCAAGACAUAAGUGACGGUUGCAAGCCCCAUGGUGAAAGGCAAAAUGAGUAAGUUUUAAGUCUUAACAGUUUACUCUAACUCAGAGAUAAGACCUUGUUUGAAAGCAUGUGUACCGUCAUCUUUCUAAGGCCUUGCAGCAAUUUCUGAUCCAUCAUUAAGUCUAUCCUUGCUCAGGGACGAGCAAGAGGUAAGCUUGGGGGAGUUUGUUGAUGGUCCAUAAGUAUCAAAUUUAAUCAUCAAAUAAAUAAAGAAAAGGAUCCAAAUGCAACCAACACCCAGACUUAGGGUUUUAUCUGACAGAAUUCCACGAGUUUUGGUGUUUGUCUAUUUCUGCAUGGGGUUAUCAGGAAAUAUGGAGGAAAGGCCCACACGUCGGGUUUACAUAGAGAUAUUAACGUGUGCGGCAAUUUUCUAUCAUCUAGAAGACUCCAGAAGCCACGGGAAUGAACGGGAGGCCGAGCGGGCCUGGGGGCAGGGCGCCCGCCCUCCCCCCUAGGGCGCCUGCCCUGCUAUAGGAACCAAUCAGGCUCUGCCUCGAGGAUUAUGCUCCACCGCCUUUGAAGAUCAAGGAAACCCAUGCGAUUAAGGUCGGUUUGAUGCGACGACCCACGUUCAUUUAAGGGGGCUAUAUAAGCAGGGCCCCUGGCCCCUGGAGGAGGCAUCCCUAUUGAAUAUUCAUAGACAGAGCAAAAGCUAGGAUUUGGAGAUGAGAGCUCUCCUCUCUUGUCUAAACUAGAGUAGAUCUAGAUAGUAGCGGGAUGGGGAGCGAGGGAGGAUUGGAGGAGAGGCCGGCCUGUUGGUUCUUCCUCUAGUUGUACUUCGCCAUGAUCAAGCUCUAAUCAAGCUUGCUCAUGGGAUGACUCUGGUAAUCUACUUCUAUUUUAUUAUGCAAUCCAUGUAUGUUCUGGUUCACAACUCUUUUGAGUACUUUUAAUCUAUAGGACCCUAUAGGUUAGAGUUGUAGUAUAGGUGUAAGUAUGGUGCUUAGACCUAGAUUACUUGUGGAUAUCCCCUGUCUAGCCAGAUCGUGUGGUAGGCCGCAUAGGUGACAGCUACGUUGAUCCUCUGUAGUCCACCUCCCAUUAGCAGGACUGGUAGGUUUUAUCGGCCUAUGGAUAAGUAUCCUUUGUGGUGUAUUCUUAUCACGUGGUUCGUCCCAGACAUAGACAUACCCCUUUGAAGUAGAGAAACCAUAGGUAUCCUCUCUAUUCUCCUACCAUCGCCCAUAUACUAGAUUGCUCUACUCUCUAUUCCCAUAUUAUCACCCAUUGUUAUCUUACCUUUAAUAUUGUUUUUAUUCAAUUCUACCAUCUUUCCUAUUUACACCUACCGAUCUAUCUAGGUUAAGUUAGAGUGUAGAUCAGUUCUCCCGUUUCCCUGUGGAUACGAUAAAAUCUUUAACCGGGUAAAAGCUACAACGGUAUCCAUGCGCUUGUGGAUUUAUUUGUGUGCGUAUAAAUACCAUAGUACACUCUAGUGCCAUGCUGGGGAUGACAACCUAGUAUUCAGGUGGUAUUAGCAAGUGUCAACACUCAACUUUUUUUUCACUCAGGUGGGAAUCUUUGUACCCCUAAUUCUACUGUUAGACACUUGUCCAUUUUUACCUCUCGUCUCACACUUUUUCUUUUCUGAGGUUGUCGGGCACUUGCCCCUUUUUAUUUCCUUGAUAUAUAUAUUUUUUUGAGCACUCAUCCUUCUUAAACAACAAAGCAAGAGAUAUUAGCAAAUAUGACUGGAGCAUUAUUUCACAAGGAAUAACAUGAAUAUGAGAAUGUUUUUGGCUAUUCUCUCCUUGAUAGGAGUAGAAUAAUUUUGGGUGAAUCUAGAGAUGGAAAUCAGUGAAUGUGAAUGGGUGCAUAAUUAGAAGCAGCGUAUGUGAGUGGAGUGUAAGUGAAUCUUGAUUUAAACCACAUGACUAGCUCCUGAGGGCCUACACAGCUGGACCACACUCAAUACUCAUAAGAUGUAAAUAUCAGUGUGUGGUUCCUUAAUCUAGUAAGCAUGUAUAUAACUCGUCAUAUAGGAACUCAUCAUGAAGCACUUCUAAAGGAUUUUCAAAAUAAAACUCUCCAGAAUUCUAGCAUCUCUAGGAACUGAUAAAUAGCAGCUCAAACCUUUCCAUAUCAUAUCCGUCAACGACUUAGACUUUAGAUCAAGUACUCUACCCACAAGUUCAGGUUUAGACUAAAUUUCAAAUCAUAACAGUCAUGCCUAAACUGGAGAGAGAGUUUAGAUUUGAAAACUAGGUACUUGAAAGGAAUUACAAUAGAGCAACUAUUCAUCAUCUCCAUGUAAGAGCUUAUCAUAGAGGUUUAUUUGAGCAUAGCUACUUUAUUCUCUCCUAUUAUUUAUUAGCAAACUUAAAGACUAAACAGAAACAUAUGAGUAGGAAAUAUUUAUUUGGAUUCCUAUGGGUAUGCAUCUUUUUGGUAGAGGAUUCAUAAGUCAAAAUACUUAUCUGGAUAUAUAGGGGUGCUCUCCCGAAAGCUAGAUUUUGACAUAAUUUCAUUUGAUGUGGCUGGCUGGUAGCAGAGGUGUAUUUGUCGGAGCGACUGUUGAGACAAUACUCUGACAGCGGCUAGGAUGACCUCUGUCUGUCGGCCUUCUUUUGAUCCUUAGAUUCUGCGGAGCUCAAAUAGACAACAAAGCUUGUGGAACUGAUUAAGUGUUAGUCAUAAAUCUCUAGCUUUGAUCAUGUCGAGCUUCCUCUAAUAAAUUUUAUUUAUUUAGUAGGAUCAUACAAUUAUUAUUUUUAUAUUUUUAUUAUAAGAUGAAAACAUAUUUAUUUUAUUUUUAUGCCACCAUGGUGAAUAUCCCUAUGGAUUUUUACACACCACUGAAUUAUUCACAUGGGGCUUUAAGUUUUAUGAUGCAGUGCAAUAGAAAAAUAUUUUUAUCUUCUUUUGUAAUUAAAUGGUAAUGCAGAAAAGGUAAAUAUGGAUAACUACCAAUUUUACCUCCCGACAAGGGUUCAGUGUUUUGAGUCCUCUGAAUAGGACUUCUUACCAUGUCAUUCCUUUAGGUGCAUCCUCUGAUAAUUGCACUUCUUGAUAUGAAGGCUCCCAUGUUCUUCUUUUGCUCAGCAGUUCGAAGUGAAGCGUUAAGUAUGGAAGCUAGCAACAUCUUGCUUAGUAUGUAUGUCCUCAUAGAUCCAGAUCCUUUACUUGGCUGAAUUCGGGAGUUGGAAAACUCUUCCAUGUUGCUCAAAAUGUGUCCUGCUCAUAGCGACAAGGCAGAGAUCAAGUGCAUGGGCUCUGUUGGUGGACACCAACAGAACCAAAAGUCUAUUCAUUCUUCUCUAACCUUAAACAUAGCGAUCAAGAUAAAGUUGAUUGGUGAUAAGAACAGAAGAUGAGUAUUAAAAACAAUUGUCAGAUCAGAUCGCUCAACCUAUGAAAAGAUAAUUUAUUUAUGAUCUUCCUUUAUAUGACUAUCAUCUUCCAAAGGUUGGAUGUGCAACAUUAUAGCUCAUAUGGUUAACACAAUGAGAUUCUAAAAGUGGUUCUACUUAACAUGCUGGGUUAAUCAGGUUGGAUCAAACAAAGCUGUAAUUCUAAUAUGUUUGGCUCUUCAUGUAUAUGCAUACCAGAAUCAAGGUGAAGCUUUUUAAAAGUGAUAGUUGCUAGAGAUGCUACCUUAAUUAUUGAAGAGUGAUGGUACUGUAUCACCUUAUGGAAGCUUUCCUUGGUUCGUGGUUCUAUGUCUUGUCCAUGUACUUUUUGUCUUCUUGUUCCAUGGGUCUCAUCUCUCUUUGAUGAAUGAGCUAUAUCUUCCUUGUGCAAGUUGUUGAAGCUCAUGUGUGUCUCUCUUCAUCUCUAGUGUAGUUUAUCUCAGAACUUUCCUAGUUUGAUAUCAAAAGUUUUCCUGCAGGGGUUAGUCUAACAAAAUAUCCAAUAUUUACUAUAGCAUACUAUUAGUUCAAAAAUCAACCUAGACACCACAUAUAAUUUGACUUAGGAAGGCAUUUUAACCAUGCAUAAUUAAAAGCCUUUGAAAGUAAGAUCACCACUCCUAAACUAAGCACCAUGCUUCAUUUAAGAGAUGAAUGAAACUACUCCAAACCUACGCAUAUACUAAAGCAAACAAAGGUAGCAUGAAAACAUUUAAGAGGUUUACACAUGUGAUUUGCAUUCAACAAAUUGAGCAUGACUUUAAGGUAGGCACAACCAACAUAGCAACAUGGCAAAGUCUGUUUUUAUGUAAGAUAUUCCCCCAAGCUUGAAUUUUGUAAAAUUUAAGUUUGGAUGGAUGUUGCAUGAUGAUAGGGUGGACAUGCAUUGUGUUUGUCAGUCCUUCGAUCUCUUUGCUCCAAACUUGGAAAGGUUAGUGACAAGAAUACCCAAAGGAAUAUUUUCACAAUUACAUUUUUAUGCUCAAUACACAAGGCAAUGUUGCGAACAAGUGGAAACUCAUGUUAUGAUUUGGUAAGCGCUAAUUUUAGGACACUAAGCUUGUCCUUGGGAAACCAUCAAAUUACUAUUAUGUUGGCGAAGCGGUUUCCCCUCCAUUACCAUCCUAUUUAUACCUAUCUCAAGAUCACAAUGACAUUUGCAAUAUUUAUUAUAAACAUAAGCAUCAACAACCACCCUUUUAAAGUUUUUAUAAAUAGAAAGGAAGAAGGGGUUGGAGAUCUCGAAUGCGGUGAGGUUGGAGAGACCAAUUGAUUAGGGAGAUGUCUCAUAUGAGCAUGGGUAGGAUGAGGUAGUUAUGGAAUAGAUUCCAUGCUCAUUGAUGUCAUCUUCGUCUCCAAUCUGAAUGUUUGAAAUUUCAUCUAGAUUGGUCUCAUCUUGGUUCUCUUCCAUAGAUGGAUGAAUAUUAUCUUCAAAGGUAGUUAAAGACUCACCAUUUGAAAUUGAGCCAAGGUUGGAAAGCAUUAAGGUUUCUUCCUUGCCCAUCCAUUCUACACAUUCUUGCCAUAGUCGUAGCAUCUCUUGAUCAUCCUCAUGGUCUUCAUGACUCCUAUGGUUUGGUUGAUUGCUAGGAUCAUCAUAAGACGGGGAAUGAAGGGGAUAAGAAGAAUCUACAAGGUCAAUGAUGGGUUUAGAAAUGGGUUCAUGAUUUAAGAACAUAGAAGGGGAAAAGAUAGAAUUUUCAAUGUGGCUUAGCUCUGCUUCUAUGGCAUCACUUGUAAUGCCAUCCUCGACUUCUUCAUAAUAGGAAUCAGGACAUUCUUUAAGACAACCCUUCUUGCAAGAAUUUAAAUUAUCCCUGCUUGAAAGUCUCUUAUGAAACCAAAAGUCUAAACCACCAACAUUUGAAGGAUCUAAGGUUGGAAUUACUCCUUCCCUUAGAGAAUUUUGGGGUAUUGAUGGUUUAGGAUCGAUAGCUAAAUCUUGGGAUUGGAAUGGUUGCGAUUUGGCUAUCGGAACCACCUCUUCUUGUUCAAGGACUGAUUCCUUCUCUUUCUCAGGGAUUGGCUUCUGAAUGCUAGGGCAAGGAGUCUUUCCACUCAUUUUAUCAAUCCAAUUCCUUGCAUCACUAGUAGACAGGUGAAAGAAAGAUCCUCCAGAGGCUGUAUUAAGGGAUUUCUUAUCUUCCCUACUAAGGCCCGCAAAAAAGUGUUCCAAAAGAACAUGUUCUGGAAUACGAUGAUUUGGGCUAGUGAGAGUAAGGUCAAUAAAGCAAUCCCAAGAUUUAUCAAGAGAUUGUUCUUCUAGUUGUCCAAAAGUAAGAAUCUCAUUCCGAAGAUCAACCUCUUUGGUGAUUGGAAAAUAUUUUAGAUGAAAAUUAUUGUGUAGCACCCUCGAAUCUCCUUGAAAACUUCCUACGUUGAGUUUAUACCAAUGUUUAGCUUUUCCCAUUAAGGAGAAUGGAAAGAGCUUCCAUUGAAUAGUCUCAUCGGACAUGCCUUCAAUACGAAGAAGGUCACAGAUUCGUCCAAACUCUUGUAGGUGUGUAUAUGGGUUUUCCUCAUCUUCUCCCAAGACAGGUUGUUUUUGAAGAAAGUCUAUGUAUUCCGGGCUUAUCUCAAAACUAGAUGUCGUGAUAGGCUUUGAAGAUUUUGGUGGUUUGAGGUAUGUGCUCGUUAAUCUACCAUAUUGAUAGAUAGGAAUGUUGUCAUCCAUGGUAGACAAGAGAUAAAGAAAUAGGUAAGAAGAAAGAAUAGCAGAGAUGCGGCAAAGGAUAAAGAGGAAUGAGGAUAAAGAAUAUGAAAAGAUAAGAAAGAUUUAUAAAUAUAUAUAUUUUUAUUUAAAAAAUAAAUGAUUAAGCUAGUUCGUAGUUAACUCAGCAACCAAUUCCCCGGCAAUGGCGCCAGAAAGCUUAUUGGGUAUUUUAAACGCAAACAGAUAAAUCCGCAAGUGCACGGAUACUGUUGUAACAUUCACCUAUGAAGGGUUGUAAAUAUCGUAUCCACAGGGAAACGGGAGAAUCAACUAUGCUCUAACUUAACCAGAAAGGAUAAGUGCGUGAAAAUAAAGUAUAUGGUAAGAACAAGAUAAGGUAAGAUAAAAGGUAAGACCAAUAUCAAAGGUAUAGGACAAUAAUCUAAUAUAGAGGCAAUAAUAGGAGAAUAGAGAUAAUAGCUAUGGUUUCUCUACUUCUAAUGUUGGCAAGGAGCUAUGUUUAUGUGAUUCAACUAGGGACAACUCCUAGUAGGCCGCAACAGAGUACCGAAUCUACUAGGGAACAGACCCUACUGCCCUACAAAUGGGAGAUGGACUACAGAGGAUUCAACGAAGUUGUCACCUUCACGAUCUACCACCAAUCCAGAAUGUAGGGGGUAUCCAUUGUCUACCUAAGUCUAAGCACCAUGCUGUUGUUGGUCGAAAACGUCAACUUUUAUUAGAGCUUUAAACUUGAGGGAGAACAUGAAAACAUACUAGUCUAGGGUUUAAACUGAUAAUUUCCAUGAGUUUUGCAUAUUCUGUAUUUUCUAGGGUUUAUUUCCAGAAAAGCAGAAAAGAGGGAUUCAAGUGCAUAUUUACCACAAAAUUUAUCCACCACAAAAAAGAUCACGAACGGGACGUGAGAACCGGGGCCUAGAGGCCGCCAGGUGGGGCCGGCUGGCUCCACCAUGGCGCCGGCCGGCGCCCCCGUGUUAGGGUUUUGGCCCCCCUUCUUGAACCUUCCUCCACUACCUCCGAGGAGUCAUCUUGGCCCUUGGUUAAGUCGGUUUGAUCUUGCGGCGCAUGUCGAUCCCACCGGGCUAUAAAUAAAGGGGCAGACCCGCCUCCCUAAAGGUAUCGUGUCAUUUGGAGAUCAAUCCAUCAAGAGUCUUCUCUAGUUCAUCAGAUCCUCUUUAGUUCAUAGAUUUAGCCUAGUUAGAUUAGAAGUAGAAGAGUUCUAGUUCUUUAGUGGGAGCGUGGAGUUCGGUAUAGCUCUAGUACCUUUCUCUUAUUGUAUUCAAUUUUAUGAUUCAGGCAACAUUGUUCUUAAUCUCUUAUAUAGUCUUAAUUGCAAUAGCCAUUAUCGACUUUGAUUAUAUGUCUAGGAUAGUAGAUUUGAUUUUAUUGAAUCCAUGUAAUUGCUUGUAUAGCGUUUACCUAAUCAUUUGGUGGGUAGAUGGUAGACAAUAUUUAGAUGUGGUGUCUAGAUAUCUUGUUUAUCUGUGAUGACACCCUGACGUGCCAGGUCAUGUGGUAGUCCGCGCAGGUGACAGCUGCAUUGGUUCCUGUGUAGUCCACCCCCAUACGUAGCAUGUGAUUGUGAUAUAGGGUUGACUAAACAAUGAUUUCUAGAUGUAAUUUCACUAAUUAGAGUUAUUCAUUGACGUAGUUAUAGAAUUACCUUAGUAUUUCUUCCUAAGUUUAUCCAAUGGCUAGCUAUUACUAUGACUAGAAGAGCUCUGGUAUUUAUCUAUUUAUAAUGACUGAUCAUUAUUUAUCUUAUAUCUUUUAUCAAGUGACUUAUCCCUAAUAUGAGUAGCAUUCUAGUUAGGGUUUACCGUUCACAUCAAUAGUAUAGUUAUAGUUAUAAGUCCUACAUAUAGACCAUCCCUAUGGAUACAAUAUUUAAAACCCCCGGGUAAAAUGUGACAUUGGUUUGAUAUCUGUGUGCUUGCGGAUAAUCUUACUUAAAUCUUAUUUAAAGGAGUGUAGUUAAUUUAUACCAACAAUCAUUUUUGGUGCCAUUGCCAGGGAAGGUAGCUAGGCAAUUAAGGAACGUUGAUAGACUUAUACUCAAUUAUGCGAUCGAGAUAACCAUUAACCCCUGCUCAAGCAGGAUUACCCUUGUUUGUCUACUUUUGUAUCUUAUGUAGGGUAAUAAACGACCGGUUUAUGAUCUUCCGGAAUGCCCCCACAAAAUAAGAAGAAACAUAAAAAAUCCAAUGUUGGAGAAAGAGGUCGACGUCAUAGGACUUUAAUUCAUAUCUCAAGUGACGGGAACAAAGAUGUUGCAUCACUCACAAUUACAGAAGGUGAGAAAGUCUUGCUCAUGGACUUCAACAAUUAUGAGUAGUUAUCUUUUAUAUUCCACUAUAUGUUUACAUUAAUCCAAAUAUUCACACUAUUUAGUUUAAAUUCCUUAGCCAUAACUUGUUCUAUUUCAUAUAUUCAUCUCACAUGCAUUAUAAAAAAAACUCACCAUGAUCAUGCUCUUUUAUCUCUAUGUGAAUAAAUAUCUAUAAUGCUUUCAUGUCACCUUUGUUUUCUAUAGUAUAUGUUUAGGUUUGGAGUAGUUUCAUUUAUCUAUUAAAUAAAGGACGGUUGCUAGUUUAGGAGUGAUGAUCUUACUCUCAAAGGCUUUUAAUUAGACAUGGUUAAAAUGCCUUCUUUAAUCAAAUUAGACGUGGUGUCUAGGUUGAUUUUUGAGCCGAUAGUAUGUUGCAGUGGAUACUGGAUAUUUUGUCGGACUAACCCCUACAAGAAUAUUUUGAAUUAAAUCUAGAAAAGUCAAGAGAUAAGUUCACACUGGGGAUGAAUCAAAGCAGAUGAUAACUUUGCACAAAAAGUACAACUUGUGAGUACUAAUAUUUAUUCAUUUAUCUUUUGUUACAAGUUAUCUUUGCCUUGAACCAUGCUAGAUUGCAACAACAACAACAUAAAAACAUGAUAGACAUAAUUUAUGCUAAAUAAUCUUAAAUCAUAUAUCAUCUUGAUUAGCAUAGAAGAAAAUCAAAAAAAAGGAUGGACAACAAAACCCGUAUUUCAAUCUUGCUAUUCCCUAGGGUAUGUGUCCAUUAAAGUUUUGCAGGAAAUAACAACCUUAAUCUAUUGGAGAAGAAGUUUUCAAAUGAGCAUUAUCGCAUGUCCAAUAGACCCCAGCUCGUCAAUUACAAAUUAACCAAAGACAUCAGAAAAAAAAGUUGAUGAGUGAAGAGGAUGUAAUCUUCUAUAGUUUCAUUGAAUGGUGAAAAGGCGAAGAAUAAAAGGAAGGCCUUGCUCAGCAAGACCAGAAGCUCUCACCAACAGAUGAACCCAAACCCUCCUCUUCCAAGUAAGUUCAUCAUCACUUACUUAGAAAGAUGAAGAUAUGAGGUACGUUUGUCCAAGCCUCAUGCAACAAGUAACUACAAUUAACAUCUCAUACCAUGUUGCUAAUUUGUCUUGGUCAUUUCUACCCUACUCUAUGCUCAAACAUAACUUGCUAAUAUAUAUAUAUAAUAAAAUGCUCUUGUGGUUCACCAUACAUAUUCUCGGUUCUAUGUGAAUAAAAACCUUUAGUUUUGCAAACUUCCUUAUUCUAUUAUAAGUAUGCUUUAGAAUAUUAGUUAAAGAUUAUGAAAAUCAAGCCUACUUAUAUAAGAAUUUAGUUGUACAUAUAGACUAACCCUCUUACUUAAAAAAUGUUUAAAUCAUAUUAGGAGACUAUUCGUAGAAUCAAUUCAAGGUUAAGAGUAUGCUUCAAAAUAAUAUCCUUGCUUUAACCUUGAUAUAUAAAAAAUUGAAAUAGUAUCAUUGAAAACAUGAGCUACAAAUCAAUCUUUAACUCUUAGGCAAACACUAUCCAUACUUUCAUAAAUAGUAUAUUCCUUCGGGUAUGUGUUCUCCACUAACCCUUGCAGAAAAGACAUAAUGAGAGAGGCAGAAGGUCUGAAGAGUGAGAAAGGAGUACAACAUACGAGACAAUAUGCUAAUGAAUAACCCAUGAUACAAGAAAAAAAGAGUGACCAUUGAAAUUCAUCUACCCUUCAUCAUGCUCUAAUGGAGGUAACAUCUUAAGAUAAGUGGUCAUUAAUUUCCUCUCUAUCUUGGUAUGCAAUAAAUGAAAAUACAACAUUGUUAGAGUUACAACUUAAAUUGAUCAACCUGAUUAAACUCAACAUGAUUUAUUCUCUAAGAUUGUUCAUAGCGCUAUUCUUGUAAUCUCAGUCUUAACCGAGUAAGCUAGAAAUACUUCGUCUAGUAUUCUUGAUAUAUUAUAAAUAUGAAUAGCCUCUCUAAUGGUUAAGUAACUUUAGUCUUUAUCUCACAAGUUUAAAUAUCAUAUUUAUACUUCUGAUCCUCUCACCCAUGAUAGGAAUGAACAAUAUGAAUAAUAUCAAUCUUAUUGUGUCCAAGGUUAGAGGAUAAAUAAAUUUCUAGUUCUAUUGGUGUUUUCCCACCAACAGAGCCCAUGCACUUGAUCUCUACCUUGUCUUUAUGAAAGUUUUCAGCUAGUAAUAAGAAUGCACAUAAGAUUGGCUUUGAGACGCCUACAAUAGAAAGAAAUAAGGUGGCACCGCUAUUGGGAGCCACUAGUAGAGGCACCACCACAAUCCUUACCAUCAAGAGCAACUCAAAGUACUCAAUGAACCACUACAAGGAGAAGUCGAGUUCAAAGGACUAAAAAUAUCAAACCCUCGCCGUAAGGUAACAUCGGUAGUUAUCUAUAUCUACUUCCUUACAUUGUAUGAGUUAAUUUCUCUUUAGUAUGUUUACCUUUCAAUAUUGGCAAUGCAUAGAAAUAACAAAAAAUAGUCUUGCAUUAGGCUACAUUCAUGCAUCUUUUAAAAAAUAAUAUAUAUAUUAAGUUCCAUGUGAAACCCUUGUAGUGUAAAAGAUGUAGGAGUUCUCACUGUGGUGGCCUAUAGAACAAAAAUAUAUAUCAUGCAUUUGCACUUUAUGCAUAUAAACCCAUAAAAUCCAAAAAAAUAUUAACCGAGCAUCCUGCUACAAUACUAUUUUCUUAAAAACAAUUUGAAACCACCACAACAUCUAAUCCUCUAAAAACAGUAAUCAUUAAUGUUUUAUAGUGUUUCCUUCUAUCUAAGUUCUGUUGGUAGGCUUUAAAUUCCGUACCCUAGCCAUAAUGUCAGAUUGGUAGUUAUCUAGUUAAGGUAGCAUGCAUUAGUAAUUUUGCUUUAAUACACCUAGUAGCAUAUUUAUUUCUCUUAGCAUAUUAACACAAAAUACAAACAAAUAUUUAUUGCUUUAAUUCCAACAUCAUAAAUAACAAGCCCCAUGUGAAUAAACUUAUGGUAUCCCCUUAUGAAUAUUUACUGUGGUGGCAUAAAAAAAUAUAGCAUUCAAAUUUAAAUUCCUGCAUCAUAAAUAGAAAAUUAAAAAAUAAGAGAAAAUUGAAAUCCUGUUUAAAUUAGACAACAAUAAAGCUAGCUCAUAAUGGUGAUACAGUUACUAUUUGGCCGACCGCUAACCCAUUAACAAAUUCAAGCCUCGAGUUUUGGUUUCUCUUUGUGGAGAGUAUUUAUACAGGAAUAACAUCAUAGCAAGGAGAGAAUCUAUCAGUGGCACCCACCAGGUCUGCUACUGGUUAGCUCACUCUAAAGGACAUCUACACCAAGUAUUGCAACCAUUCAGCUUUGGGGAGGAGCAUCCCCUAGUUAUCAGGUAAUUAUACCUAAGUGAUUUUUGAGUCUACAUAGUUAUAAAAAUACCAAAAAUAUGUGGGCACAUGAAGGUCCACAAGUCAUAGAGUCUUUUUCUAAUUUUAUAAUAAGUUAAGUGUCAGAGUCUAUUUAGAGUCAGUCUAAACUAGAGCUAAACAAAAAUUGAUGAACAUUAAAAUUUUGUCUUGGAGAUGAUGAAUAGUUGCUCUGUUAUAAUUCUUUACAAGUACCUAGAUUCCAACGGUAGAUUCUCUCGAGUUUUGGACAUGACUGUUUUAAUUCGAAGGUUUACUCUGAACCUACAACUUGUGGAGGCAUUAGUUUGAGCUAAGUCUAGGUAGUUGGUUGAUAUGAUCAUUGAAAGUUUGAGCUCCUAUUUAUCUUAUUCCUAGCAUUAUCAAGUUCAGGAGAUUUAUCAUGAAAAACCAAAAUCCUACAUGAUGACGUCUUGUAUGACAAGCUUGAAUUCCUACCAAAGCCAUAUAUAAUACACAUUUAGAGUAAGGAAAACUUUUGCACAUUUCUGCUGCUUGCUUUGCAUUGAGUUUAGUCAACCUUUGUAGUAUACCUUAAAGUCUUUAUUGACGGUCCUUAAGUAUCAAAUUUAUUCAUCAAAUAAAUAAAGAAAAGGAUCCAAAUGCAACCAACACCCAGAUUUAGGGUUUUAUCUGACAGAAUUCCACGAGUUUUGGUGUUUGUCUAUUUCUACAGGGGGUUAUUAGGAAAUAUGGAGGAAAGGCCCACAUGUCGGGUUUACAUAGAGAUAUUAACGUGCCGCGCAAUUUUCUUUCAUCUAGAAGACUCUAGAAGCCACGGGAACGAACGCGAGGCCGAGCAGGCUCAGGGGCAGGGCGCCCUCCCUCCCCCCUUGGGCGCCCGCCCAGCUCUGGCAACCAAGCAUGUUCAACCUCGCGGAUUAUGCUCCACCGACCUAAAGGAUCAAGAAGAACCGUUCAAUCAAUGUCGGUUUGAUCCGACGGCCUAGAUUCACUUGAGGGGACUAUAUAAGCAGACCCCCUGGCCCUUGGAGGAGGCACCCCUUGAUCCCUAUUCAUUAUUCAUAGACAGAGCAAAAGCUAGGGUUUGGAGAUGAGAGCUCUCCUCCCUUCUCUAAACUAGAGUAGAUCUAGAUAGUAGCGAGAUGGAGAGUGAGGGAGGAUUGGAGGAGAGGCCGGCGUGUCGAUUAUUCCUCUGGUUGUACUUCGCCAUGACCAAGCUCUAAUCCAGCUUGCUCAUGGGAUGACUCUGGUAAUCUACUUCUAUUUCAUUAUGCAAUUACUAUUCAUGUAUGUUCUAGUUCACAACUCUUUUGAGUACUUUUAAUCUAUAGGACCCUAUAGGUUAGAGUUGUAGUAUAGGUGUAAGCGUGGUGCUUAGACCUAGAUUACUUGUGGAUAUCCCCUAUCUAGCCGGAUCGUGUGGUAGGCUGCGUAUGUGACAGCUACGUUGGUCCACUGUAGUCCACCUCCCGUGAGCAGGAUUGGUAGGGUUUAUCGGCCUAUGGAUAAGCAUCCUUUGUGGUGUAUUCUUAUCACGUGGUUCGUCCCAGACAUAGACAUACCCCUUUGAAGUAGAGAAACCAUAGUUAUCCUCUCUAUUCUCCUUCCAUCGCCCAUAUACUAGAUUGCUCUACUCUUUAUUCCCAUAUUAUCACUAAUUGUUAUCUUACCUUUAAUAUUGUUCUUAUUCAAUUCUACCAUCAUUCCUAUUUACACCUACCUAUCUAUCUAGGUUAAGUUAGAGCGUAGAUUAGUUCGCCCGUUUCCCUGUGGAUAUGAUAAAACCUUCAAUCGGGUAAAAGCUACAACGGUAUCCGUGCGCUUGCGGAUUUAUCUAUGUGUGUAUAAAUACCAUAGUACACUCUAGUGCCAUGCUGGGGAUGACAACCUAGUAUUCAAGUGGUGUUAGCAAGUGUCAACAAGCAUUUUUGGCGCCGUUGGUGGGGAAACGGUUGCUGAGUUGACUACGAACUAGCUUAAUCAUUUUCUAAAAAAAUAAAAAAUAUAUAUAAUAAUAAUAUAUAUUUCCUUUUAUCCUUUGCCUCGUCUCUGCUAUUCUUCCUUCUUAUCUAAUCCUUGAUCUCUGGUCUAUCAUGAAUUCAAACAUGUCUAUCUAUGAAUUUCAUAGACCUACGGGCGCACAUCUUGAACCACCAAAAUCUUCAAAGCCUAUCAUAGCAUCUAGUUUUGAGAUAGACCCCGACUACAUAGAAUUUGUUCAAAAACAACCUUUCUCAGGAGAAGGUGAGGAAAACCCAUACACACACCUAAGAGAGUUUUAUCGAGUCUGUGACCUCCUUCGCAUAGAAGGCAUGUCCGAUGAGACCCUUAAAUGGAAGCUCUUUCCGUUCUCUUUAACAGGAAAAGCUAGACAUUGGUACAAACUCAAAGUAGGGAGUGUUCAUGGAGAUUGGAAGGAGUUGUAUAAUAGAUUUCUUUUUAAAUAUUUUCCAAUCUCCAAAGUGGUGGAACUUCGGUGUGAGAUUAUUUCUUUUAGACAACUGGAAGAAGAAUCUCUUGGCAAAUCAUGGGACCGCUUUAUUAACCAUACUUACACUGGCCCAAAGCUUUCUAUUCCAGAAGAAGUUCUUCUAAUUCACUUUUUUGAGGGCCUUAGUAGGGAAAAUAAGCAAACCUUGAAUACAGCCUCUAGAGGAUCGUUCUAUCACCUACCUGCUAGUGAAGCUAGGGAUUUAAUUGAUUCAUUGAGUGGAAAGUUUCCUAGCAUUUAUAUCCCUAAGAAAGAGAAAGAACCAGUUCCUAGACAAGAAGAAGAAGUUUCGAUAGCCAGAUCAUAACCACUUCAAUUCCAAACUUUAGCUAUCGAUCCUAAACCAUCAAUACCCCAAAAUUCUCGAAGGGAGGAAGGAAUUCUGACCUUAAAUCUUUUAGAUGUUGAUGGUUUAGACUUCUGGUUCCAUAAGAGAACUUGAAGCAGGGAUAAUUCAAAUCCUUGCAACAAUGGUUCUCUUAGAGAAUGUCCUGGUUCCUGUUAUGAAGAAGUCGAGUAUGACAUAUCAAGUGAAGGAGAGCUAAACCAUAUAGAAGAUUCUAUCUGCUCCCCUUCUGUAACACCCUAGGUGUUAAGCAUGCACUUAGUCUCAUAAACCAUCCAUAAGCAUUCUCAUCAAGCAUAGCAUCACAUGAGCAUGUCAUUCACUCAAGUGUGAUUUUAUAGGCUUUAUUUUAUGUGAAUUAAAUAGGGUAAAAAUAUUAUGCUUGCUUCUAAAUUUCUUGAAAUGCCCAAAUUAGGUUGGAAUAUGUGUUAGAAGAUUUAAGAGUAAUUUGGUGAAAUUUUUGGAGCUAUAGAAUUUGAGAAAUGGAUUUUAUACCAAAAAUCCCUAAAAUGAAUUUAUUAAAAACCUGGAACUAGUUUUAAUUUGUGAUUCAAAUUCUAUUUGGAAUUUGAAUUUUCUUAUUAAAGAAAAGUUGUAGGGAAUUUUGUGGGGAGCAAUUCUUCUUUUUACCCCAACCCCUGAAAAGUUUUGCAAGGGCUUCAAAAAUAUUCUUUAAGCUUUUUAGAGAAAAGAAAUUCAAAAAAAAGAAAAUGGGGCAGGCGCUGCUGGGCCGACCCGCCUCCCUUUCGGCCCAGCCAAGCCGCACGGCCCGGCCUCCCCUCCCCUCUUUCCCGCGUGCGGACGCCCGCCUCGCUCCACUCGGCGCCGGCCACGUGGCGGCCGUACGCCGGCGUCGUGGACGCGGCCGACCGGCUUAUCCCGGUCGGGACGCCACCCCGCGCCCCCAGGCACCCCCAUUCUGUCCCCUCCCCACUCCCUCUCCUCCCCCGUUCGCGAGCGCAGCAGCAGCAGCGGCCGCGCGGCGCCAUUGUUGACCGAGCUCCACCGCUCGCCGCCGGCCACGCUAGUAACCCAUUCUCUGCGCCAAGACCACCACCGCGCUCGUCUUCGCCGCGGUAAGCCCCUGCGCGCGCUCUACCGAGGUGAGAGACCGCCGCGAGCCCUGAAUCGCUCGCCGCAGUUUCCCCGACCUCGUCGGAGUGCUCCACCACGUCGAAACCUGCUCGUUUCUGCCUCGUUUCUCUUGCUUUUGAGCGCGUUAGGUUCGUAGCAUGGUGAGGAAGCUCGGACGAUUCCCCACGCGCGUUCUACCCCACCGGAGCGGCCUGGCCACGACGAGCAGCGCCGCCGUGCCGCCAUGCAUGCCCGUGGGGGUGCUCCGGCAUCUCCCGGCCGAUCCAAGCGCACCCUCGGAUGCGCCUCGCUACGGGGAGCACGUUGGUGCUCACCCCGUGGCCGGAGACCUCACCGCUGACGAGUUCCGCUCGUUGGAGGUGCUCUCCCUCUCGGUCACGCUGACCAGUGGGGUCAGGGGCCCACUGUCAGUUGCAAGGGGACCGAGGCGUGUAGAGAUCUGGGUGUCUUUAGUGUUUUUCAUCCCGGUUUUGAAUUGGUUUUCAGAAAAUGAUUUCCAGAAAAUAGUCUAAAUGAUAUAAAAUCCAUAUCUUGAGAUAUAUGGCUCCAAAAUUGAUGAAAUAAAAUGUGGAUUGUUCUAUAAUUUCAGAUCUACAGUUUGGUGUGGUUGCAUGUCAUGUUUGAACAAAUUUUCUGUACAAAUAUAUUAAAUCCAUGUUUUUGCUGAAAAUUGGAAAAUGCAUAGUAAUUAAAAUAUAGCUCAGAAAAAUAUGAAACUUGUUUUGUUGGCUCUGCAUGGUUGAUUAGUCUCCGGAAAAAAUAUGUUACACAUUAAUUGCUAUAUGAAUUAAUUUAGAAUGAUUUAAAUGCUUGCAUGGCAGUGGUUUAUGAUUUUUAAUAAAUAAUUGGAUCAUGCAAUUAAUCUGGAAAUUUUUGUGGGUGUUUCUUAUGUUAAUAAGUAAAUUAUAAAAAUAUGAAAUCUACUGUUUGACACCUACACCACAGUAGGGCAAUUAUACUUAAUUAUAUGGAGUGAUCUUGUAAUUUUGGUUGCCCAAAAUAAAUGUCCAAAUAUUAUGAGAAAAUUUUGGUAGGCCUUAUGGUUGACUAGUAAUCUGCUAUAAUUUUUGUUGAAUUUAUUGUUAAACAGAAAUAUAUGCUACUUUUGUAUGUCCAAAAGUGAUUAAAUAAAAUAAGAAUUGUUGUGCAUGAAUUAAAUAGAAUAAAAGAUUGUUUGGUGUAUCUUUGAAGCAUCAUGUUAGCUUGCUGGUUAACCAUGAAGACAACUUGUAGAAGAGAAUGCAAUAGAUGCUUAGUUUGAUUACUUGUUCUUGGAUGAUGUUGACUACCUUGUAGAAAUGACCACCUAUAUCAUCUAUGCACCAUGUCAUGGUCAUCUGGUACCCACUUGCAUAAGCAUUGCACCCCGGGCAUCUCGUACUCCACUCAUGAGCACGCAUGCAUCAUACAGGCUCGCAGGAGAACGAGGUGGGACCCGAGGAGCAAGAGGAGACCUAGGAGCAGGAACUUCUGGGAGGACCAGAGCCCGGAGAAGAGUUGCAGGAGUGCCCUGAUGACAAGCCGAGCAUGUUUGAGAAAGUCAAGCCCCGGAGCAUUCUAAGUCUCCCUAUUCUCGCUAACUUAAAUGAUAUAUUAUGCUUGUUCUAUUAUGCUGCAUUUAAGUGAUAGGAAUUGUUUGAUAUCGUUGAUGCAUAAGUACUCCUUGAUAUUACCACUAGUUCAUCUACCUUGUCCUAUGUAGAUAGGCUCGGAGUCUAUUGCUUAGCUUGCUUAGUACGGUAGAAGUCGGAUGAUUUCCUGUCACCUGCGAGAUAAAGGUGGACACCUGUUUUGUUUAGCUGAUAAUGCGUUGAGGAAAAGUAACCAAGUGUGGGAAUGAAUUUGAGACCGGGCAGGGUCUUAUGGUGGGGAUGACCGUAGUGCCCCUGCCUGUGUCCAUUAAGGACCGAUCGUUGACGGCUCUCAUGUCAUGUUGAACGCAUGCCCCACACAUAGCUGGAAGGAUAAGUCAUUCCGACCGCGAAGCCUGAGCACUAUCUGGGCCGGGAAUCGGCCCGAUGUACGCGCUAUAUUCGUGAUGGUUCAGGAGAACGACGAGGGCGCGGCGCGCAACCUUGGUAUACCUUGGAUACCUCAAUCACCGGAACGGUCCUCAGGUAUCGGCGGUGCCUGUCGAACCCGCGAAUUGGUCCUAGAUAGUGCAACACGGUGAUCUGUAGCUCACUUGAUCAGUGAGUGUGGUUUGUGUGGGGAAUAAACUCGCCAGCUGGUCAGAAAUCGAUUCGAAUCGCCAUCGCUCCUGGAUAGUGAGCACUUGACAUGAGCCCUGUCCUCGUAGUAAGGACUAUGGAACACUUGGGUUAUGAUGGUAAAUGAUUUAUGAAUGCUAUGAUGAGGUACUGCCAUAUUACUACACUUAUUUGCAAUAGUACAGGUGCAAACCUAGAUAAUAGGUAAUGAUAUUAUUAAACUUCAGCUAAUUAAAAGAAGAAAGGUAUCUAGGCUAUGUUUAGUGGAAUAAUGCUUUUAUGCAACAAGUCUCAGCUACCCCACCAUACAGCCUUCAUGAUCCUUGAAGAGUCUUUAUUUUUGGUUUAUGACGGGUAAGUCUAGCUGAGUACAUUCUCGUACUCAGGGUUCUAUUCCCAUGUUGUUUUGCAGAUGGUCAAAUGUACUAUGGUUAUUGCAUCCUCUGCUUGUACCCAGCAAUGGGCGUUGAAUAGACCAAGGGCGAUGGUCAGUCUACCUUCUCUUUUGCUUUUGUGGGAAUGACCGAACUAUGGCACUGUACCAGACUAAAUGUGUGUGUUACUUUCGAACUAUGAAGCUUCCGCUACUUGAGAACUUGGUUUGUAAUAAUUUUCAGUACUCCGAUGUAUUUUUUAUGAAUGUGGUAAACUGGAUGUAAUUGUGAAUGGUGACCGCUGAACUUAUUACGAUCUUGGCUAUACGUACGAAUUGUGGUUUGAAAUCCUUCGAGAUUUCACGGUGUACCGGGAUUAUAUGGGCUUAAGCUCGGUAGUUUGACUGUGCAAAUGGUCACUAUCAGGCUUAAUCUCUUAUAAUUUGGGCGGUUUUGUUACACCUUCCAUGUUCACAAUUUGUAAACCCAUCCUUGACCUUAGAGACCCCUCUUAUACCUCUCCUUUUUAGUCUCAUUAUGAUCCUAGCAAUCCAUCAAGACGAUCAAACCAUAGGAGUCAUAAAGACCAUGAGGAUGACAUGUCAAGUAAUGUCAUAGAAAGAGAGCUAAGCCAUAUAGAAAAUUCUAACACGUGCCCUUUCCUGAUCAUAGGUUCUAAAUGGCUAGAAUGUGUAGAAUGGAUGGAUAAGGAAGAAGCCUUAAUGGAUUCUGACUUUGGCUCAAUUUCAAAUGGUGAGUUCUUGACUCCCUUUGAAGAUGAGAUUCAUCCAACUACAAAAGAGGACAUAGGUGAGACCAAUCUAGGAGAAACUCUGAACAUUCAGAUUGGAGACGAAGAUAACAAUAAUGAGCUUGGAAUUUAUUUCAUAGCCACUUCGUUUACUCCAUGCUCAUAUGCAACAUCUUCCUAAUCUAUUGUUAUCUCCAAAAUCACCACAUUUGAGAUCUCCAACCCCCUCUUCCUUUCUAUUUAUAAAAACUUAAGAGGGUUGUUGUCGAUGCAUAUGUCUAUAAUAAAUAUUACAGAUCUCAUUGAGUUGAUCUUGAUAUAGGUCAGCGUUAGAAGGUAAACCACUUCGCCGACAUAAAUUGAUGGUUUCCAAAGGACAAGCUUAGUGUCCUAAAAUAAGCACUGAUCAGAUCGUAACAUGAGAUUUUAAUUAUUUACAACAUUACCUUGUGUAUUGAGCAUAUAAGGAUAAUUGUAAAAAUAUUCCUUCGGGUAUUCUUGUCACUAACCUUUCCUGGAUUGGAGCAAGAAGAUUGGAUGAAUGACAAGCACAAGGUAUGUCCAACCAAUCAUCAUACAACAUUUAAUUAAAUCCAAACUUGAAUGUUGCAAAAUUCAAGCUUGGGGGAGUACUUUACAUAAAAACAUCCUUUGCCAUGUUGCUAUGUUGGUUGUCCCUACCUUUGAGACAUGCUCAAUUUGUUAAAUACUAAUCACACUACUUCAUCUCCACUUGAGUAGAUCUCUAUAAAUGCCAUCACGCUACCUUUGUUUAUCCUAGUAAGUGUUAGUUUGGAAGUACUGCACAUACUUCUAUUGGCUUUUAAAUUAAGCAUGGUGCUUAGGUUAAGCAGCCUUCCUUAAUCUGAUUAGACAUUGAGUCUAGUUCGGUUAUUGAACUAAAAACUGCUUGUGUAGACAUUGGUAUAUUUUGUUGGACUAACCCCUACAGGAAAACUUUGAAUAUCGACUUAGGAAGUCCUGAGAUAAACUCACAUUGGAGACAAAGAGAGAGACACAUCAAGUUUAACAAUUUACACAUGGAAUACGUAGCUCAUAAGACGUGAUCCAUGGAGGGUGCCACAAACACGAUGCACAACCGCUAAGAAAGGAAAGCUUCCACAAGGUGAUACUGUACCAUCACUCUUCAAGUAAGGUAACAUCUUAAGGUACUUGACUAUCACUUUUAUAAGCUUCUCCUUGGUUCUGGCGUUCAUAUGAAUAAAAGAGACAAACAUAUAUGAUUUACAACUCUAGGUUAACCAACCCAAUCGAUUCAACAUGUUUAGUCUUUCCACCUUUGUGAUCCCAGACUCCUAAUCAUAUGAGCUAAAAUGUUGCACACUCAAUCUUUGGAAGAUAUAUAAAACACAUAAAUAUAGAUAGAUUAUCUUAACAUUAGGUUGAGCGGUCUGAUCUGACAAAUGUUUUAAAUACUACACUCAUGAUCUUAUUAUCCAUCAAAUUUGUCUUACUCACUAUGCUUAAAGUUAGAGAAGAACAAAUACACUUUUGGUUCUGUUGGUGUUUUCCACCAACAGGGCCCAUGCACUUGAUCUCUGCCUUGUCUCUAUGAGCAGGUACACUUCGAGCAAAACAUGGAGGAGUUUCACAACUCCCAAAUUCCACCAAGCGAAGGUCCUGGAUCUACAAACACACUGAGCAAGAUACUGCCAACGCCGCACUUCGAACUGCUGGGCAAACGAAGAACAUGGGUGACACCGUAUCAAGAGGUGCAGACGUCAAGGUCCACACCUGAAUCAAAUGACGCACCUAAAGAAUGAACACGGUGAGAUGUCUGGUUCAGAAGACUUAAAACAUUGAACCGUCGCCGAAAGGUAAAAUCGAUAGUUAUCCAUAUUUAUCCUUUCUGCAUUCCCUUUUCCCUUAAAUUAUUUACUUUCCUUAAAUGGCUUGUUAGUUAAUCAUGCUAUCUUGAAAAGAAAAUAAAAAUGUUAAAAAUAGUAAGCCCCAUGUGAGUAUGCUCGUGGCAUAAAACCCAUAAGUACAUUCACUGUGGUGGUGUAAAAGUAAAAUAAAUAUAUUCCUAUCCUAUAGAAAUGAAAAUAUAAAAAAUAAACUUAUGACCCUACCAAAGAGAGUAAUAUUUAUUAGAGGAAGCUCAAUAUGAUAAAGGCAAAGAGAUUUUUAUGCUAACACUUAACCAGUUCCACAAAGCUUUGUUGUCUAUUUGAGCUCCACAGAAUUCAAGGAUCAAUGAAGACUAGCAGACGGAGGACGUCCUAAUCGCUGUCAGGAUGUUGCUAACAUUCAAAUACACCUCCGCCACCUGCUAGCUACAUCAGAAAAAAUUACUUCAAAAUCCAGCUUGGGAGAGAGCACCCCCAUUUAUCCAGCUAAGUGUUUCUACACGCGUUUAUACUUUACUCAAAUAAUAAAAAGAUGUAUAAUCAUAAAAACCCAAAUAAAGAUUUUGUGCUUACAUAUAUCUUUGCUUAGUUUGCUAAAUAAAUAAAUAAAGUUUGCUAUGAACCUCAUGAUAAGCUCUCACAUGGAAAUGAUGAAUAGUUGCUCUGCCAUGACUAGUUCUCAAAAUUGAAAUCUCUCUCAAGUUUAGGCAUGACUGUUAUGAAUUAAGAUUUGCUCUAAACCUGAACUUGUGGGAAGAGUACUUGAUCUAAAGUCUAUGUCAUUAACGGAUACGAUAUGGGAAGGUUGAGCUACUGUUUAUCUGUUCCUAGAGAUGCUAGAAUUCUGGAGAAUUUUAUCUUUGAAAAUCUUUAAAAUAUUGCAUGAUGAGUUCCUGUAUGAUGAGAGUUUAAAAUCCUACCAUAGCCAUAUAUACAUGCUUACUAGACUAUGAACCAUACAUUUACUUUUUACUGCUUAUGAGCAUUGAGUGUGGUCAAGCUAUGUAGACCCUUAGGAGCUUGUCAUGCGGUUAAAAUCAAGAUUCACUUGCACGUUCACUCAUACAUGCUACUUCUACUUCGGAAGUACGCAUCCACAUACAUCCACUCAUUUCCAUCUCUAGAUUCACCCAAAAUUAUUCUACUCCUAUCCAGGAGAGAAUAGCCAAAAAACAUUAUCCUAUCCCUGUUAUUCCCCGUGAAAUAAAUGCUCGAGAUAUUUUGGUUACUACCACUUGCUUCAUUAUUCUAGGACGGUGAGUGCUCUAAAAAAAGAAGAGAAGAAAAAGAAAAAUAUGAGGAAAUAAAAAGGGGCAAGUGCCCGAAACCUCGAAGAAAAGAAAAAGUGAGAUGAGAGGUAAAAAUGGACAAGUGUCCGAUAGUAGAAUUAGGGGUACAAGAUACCCACCUGAGAGAAAAGAAAAAGAAAAUAGAGAGCAUCUCAUUCUCCUCAAAAAGCUUCAAAGUACAAGAAAGGUAUGUUUCCCCUCAAAAGAGCAAAAGUAGAAUUAGACUUUCAUCAUUGUUUUCACGAUCAUCACCAUACACCAUUCAUUCGCCACACAUGCACAUCUUGAUAUUGACUUAUUGACUUGUUUCUCUGGAUCCAUGGUUUGACUAUGCAAUAAAUGUCUUGUAAGUAUGUAUACUUUAUCUCCCACCUAUGAGCUCCGGAUAUCAAAGCCUUAUUAGAGUAGGAUGAGAGAGAAGGCAAUGUCACUAUGCCUCAUACCACAAAUACCACAUACAUUGAGAGAUGGCAUAUAACAUCACUACCUUGGUAAGGAUCCAGAAAUACUACAAAAGAGAGAAUUGAGAGAGUCAUGCAAGGAAUCUCUGAGUUUUAUAUUGAAAAUCUGCAAAAACUCUAGAGCUAUAGUUGAUCAAGAACAAGAGACAUGGUGCUUGACUUGACCGUUCUAACUUUUAACUGCUCAAGCCACAAGUGACGGUUGCAAGCCCCAUGGUGAAAGGUAAAAUGAGUAAGUUUUAAGUCUUAAUAGUUUACCUUAACCUAGAGAUGAGAUCUUGUUUGAACACAUGUGUACCUUUAAGGCAUGACACCACUGCAGAAACUCUUGAGUCCAUCCUUGCUCAGGGACGAGCAAGAGGUAAGCUUGGGGGAGUUGUUGACGGUCCUUAAGUAUCAAAUUUAAUCAUCAAAUAAAUAAAGAAAAGGUUCUAAAUGCAACCAACACCCAGGCUUAGGGUUUUAUCUGAUAGAAUUCCAUGAGUUUUGGUGUUUGUCUAUUUCUGCAGGGGGUUAUCAGGAAAUAUGGAGGAAAGGCCCACAUGUCGGGUUUACAUAGAGAUAUUAACAUGCUGCGCAAUUUUCUAUCAUCU